CUGGAAUAAUAAAAGAAAUACAAGAUUGAGUGCCCAGUUAAUAAGCCAUUUUUAUCAUUUUUCUUUCAUAAGUUAUUACAGGCUUAGGAAUUGUGUGUGUGUGUGUGUGUGUGUGUGUGUGUGUGUGUGUGUGUGUGAUUAGAUAUGAAUCACAAUUUCACAAAGAGCAGCAUUUUCAAGUAUAAAGGGACCUGCAGAAGAUCCCUACACCAUCCUCCUGUGUGUGCCAGA
rnacentral:sRNA from 1 species